UGGAGUGGUUGAAAUAAUUGUUUUAAUGACUCCAAGCUAAGUGUAUGUAAACUUCUGACUUCAACUGUAUAUAUAACCUGAAUGUGUAGAUGUAUAGUGACUUCACGUUUGGGUGAACGGACCAACGGAACUGCCAUGGUCAAGUCCCUUGACAGGUACCAGGAAUGGUGGAAGGAGGAAAAUCUGAAGGUCACUGAUACUCCACCUGAUGUGGAAGUUGUCAAACCAGAUCAGAACGCCUUCGAAGUCCACUUUCAGGAUGGAUGUGGAGGUUUUUGACCAGGUGAGACUGAACAUGGACCGGGCGCAUGAGAAAAAGGAGAGCCACCUGAGAAGAAUCAAGGAGACCAAGUGCUUCGACAUCUGGGUGAAUUACUUGGCUUGGAAGAAGGACGAAAGGAAGGCGAGACCCAGGAAAGACCAUCCCUUACCAACCCCACUGACAUCAAAAAUUAGACAGGUAUCCUUUCCUUUCUGUCUGCGAUUAACAUUAUUGCAUGUCUAAUCAAGCAUUUAAAUCAAAUAAUUAAAUAACUGUAUUUUUACAUACCUGAUAAUAAUUUAACCUGUGUGUUUGCUUGUUUAAGUCUGUCUCCUACCCUGUUCCCUUUACUCUGCUCCUGUUCUCCAGGACCUAGGAGCUCUGCCUAACACCCAGACAUGAUGUCCUCCAUUACAAACCACCCUCCAACUUUUCAUUACACCAGCUACUGUUAUUGUCAAGUUGUCAUUAUCUGCUAAGAAAGAGCAAAACAACUAUCAUACUGGGCACAUAAUGUGAGGUGCACAGAUUAUCUAAAAACACUAGCACUGCAAACACUCAGAACAAAGAGAGCAGCAGCGCCUCUUCAAGUUCACUACCUGUUGAAAACAAGUGACAGGCAGAACCUCCCAUCCACACAAGACCCACCUCCUCUCUAUUCCACACACCAUAAUUCUGUAUUUCAGUCUGAUUGCCAUGUGAGUGUACAAAAAAUCUGAAAGUAAAUUGACACAUGUACCAAAAAAAUAUCAAUGGUUAUGUUUUUAAAUCUAAAAUAUUGCUAGAUUGGUUUUCACAGCUGUUUCAUAAGGUGUUUGUUAUUGUAAAUUGUAACAUCUCUUGAUGGUAUUUGUUAGUUCAACAUUAUUAAUUGUAUCAUAAGACAUCCAAUAGAUAUAUAUUCAAACACAAGGGUGUACUAAUGAGCUAUGAUUUAAAAAAUAAUAAUUGUAUCAAUGUUGAGGACUAAAGUUAUUUCAGUGUAGGUAAGGGAAUGCCUGUUUAAAAUGAAUACAUGCCAGCCAGACAAGCCAGUGUAUGAAUCAAAUGUAUUUGCUUAUGAAUGGAGUGGAAAUUAGUUCACUUUGUGAUCUGUAAGGUAAGUAACAUUAAUGUAUGUGGGGGGCAUUGAAAUUAUAUUAUGUUUAUCCUGAUGCCUGUUUAUUCAUAAAAAGCAGAAGAUGAUAAAUAAUAUUAAUCGCAAUGGUUAUUUUAUGCAAAUUAUUUGGAAUACAUUUAGCCUAAUUGGUAAUAUGAUGUGGGGGAAAAUCGGGAUCCUAGUCAGGAUUUUGUUUGUCAAUUCCAGAUUUAAAAAAGGUCUUCAUGUCUAUCAAAUCUGUUGGCAAUUGUGGGCCAAAUCAAUAACAAACAGUUUAAAUGUUCAUGCUUCAUCAUGACGUGAUCAAAACAGGCUGGGUUUUUUUCGGUUCCGUUAAAUCUAGCUGCGCAAGACCUUCGGUAGGCUAGUGGAUUGCGGACAUAAUAAUGGAGUUUAUCAUUGGUAUAGCCUAGACCGCUUUAUAAAAUCGGGACAGUUGCUUUCCUUAUGGCUAAACAAACACGUGGUAGCAUAUGUUUUUUUCACGUCUCUAUAACAAGGUCUAUAUCCUCACAUAACCCCUCAAUUCGAACCCUGCUUUUAAGCAUAAAACAUCUCCACAGAAAUGUAAAGACUAUGAUUGCAUGGUGACAGUCUGUUAAUCCGGUAAACUGGGAAGUGGGGGGAAACGAGGUCAAAUCAUGACAUCAGGGAUUUUCAGGUCAGAGAAAGAUGCCAGAGAUUCCGAGUUGGAUGACUGUUCAAAACAAAAAUCCCAGUCUGAGAUAGUUUUUUUCAGAGUUCCCAGUUGUCUUGAACGUACUCUACUCGGAAGUCAGAUUUCCGAGUUGUUUUGAAAGCGUUACUAGAGACCUAGACUACCCCCAUCAAAGAAAAGGAAAGGGGAAUACCUAGUCAGAUGUAAAAACCGAAUGCAUUCAACUGAAAUGUGUCUUCCUCAUUUAACCCAACCCCUCUGAAUCAGAGAGGUGCGGGGGGAUGCCUUAAUCUAAAUCCACGUAUUCGUCGCCCGGGGAACAGCCUCACAAUUGUGUCAUUCUGCCUUGCCCAAAACCUGUUCUUUUUAACUUCUUAUUUAUCUUUCUGCAAUAUUCCUACCAUUGCAUGAAAUUAUAUUACUGUUGAUAUAUUUUCAAUGCUAUCAUAAUGUUUGGUGUUUUUACAACAGUCGUUUCUAAACUUUCAUUCUUCUCUCCACUAAAACGUCAUCGUCCUUGAAUGGAUGUUCCGUUAUUUGCCAAUAGAUGGCACACAAUUACACAUAAUGUAAUUACACAGGACAAUAACAACGACAUAGUUGUGUCUAGUAAGUGACUAACAGACGUCCAUUAAACUCAGCUCACUCUGUUGACCUAUCUUGAAUAUCUUCAGUGAGAUUGCCGUUAGCCUGGUUGCCAUCUCUGUUCAGCUAUUACAUUACACUCCUUGCCACUCCUAUCAUUGAAUACCACUCAUUGCCACUCCUGUCAUUUGCCAAUGGAUAUGCAGGAUAGGAACACUCCAUUCCAUCUAAACAAUGGAUAUAUAGCAAUUAGCAAAAAAAACAUCUUCAUACACGUCUAAAAUCUAUGAAUAAAAAAUGUGAGAACAGUCAUAUUU